rnacentral:rRNA from 1 species
UACGUAGGGGGCAAGCGUUAUCCGGAUUUACUGGGUGUAAAGGGAGCGUAGACGGCGUCGCAAGUCUGAAGUGAAAGCCCGUGGCUCAACCGCGGAACCGCUUUGGAAACUGCGAGGCUGGAGUGCUGGAGAGGUAAGCGGAAUUCCUGGUGUAGCGGUGAAAUGCGUAGAUAUCAGGAGGAACACCGGUGGCGAAGGCGGCUUACUGGACAGUGACUGACGUUGAGGCUCGAAAGCGUGGGGAGCGAACAGG